AUAUUUUUUUUUAAUUCCAGUUUGGUUUAUCUAUACUGUUUUAGAAUGUGUGGGUUUCUCUAGACCCUCCAUUACUUCAGGUGUGACAUUUUAUGCACGUCACUUGUUGCAGCCCACUGGUGUCCACAUUCUGCCAUGUGAUGUGCAGGAUCCUCACCUCCAUGUAGGCCCAUUUCUUCUUCUCACUUUACAACAUAAUUUACAUGCAUGAAGAACUAUAUCAGACCAUGGAAUAAUUUUUUGCUUCAAUCAUCAAACACAGUUUAGAAAAACUCAAGAAGGCUAGCCUAUCAUAUUUAUCCAGCUUUUAUUAUUUCUAUUUUUCUUCAUCCCUGAUGUUGUUUCCUUCUUUUAUCAUUUUGUUUCUGAAUCAGGAAUUUCCUUUAGCCACAUCUUUAAAAAGGUUGCUGUGUCCUUCCUUGAGUCCCAGGUCCCCCUGGCAGCCGGCAGUGUGGAUCUAGGAUACACAGGGUGGACAUGGGCUGUAGGACUUGAAAUUGUGGCAGGGGGUCUGCACUUGACCUAAAAGAUAAGGCACCAGCACUUCUGAAACCAGACAGAAUUGGAUGGAAGCCAUUAUUUCAAGGUGAUGGUCUGUAUUUAUGAGGAUUAAUCUUUUGGAUAAUCUGGAAGACCUGGGGGACUCACUGGAAAGAUAUGGUAAUCAUUUCAAUAAAUAUUUAAGGGCUAAACCAAGUUGAGGCUGGUAGGACCAGGGAGAAACAGCUCCAUGCUACAUAUUGAGAUCAUCUAAAGACAGGAAAUUGAUGUUUUAUAUGAGGUUGAUUUUGAAGAAUAAGGAGGAAUAUCUGGUCCCCAGUCUCAUCUCUUGAAAGAACUGCACCUGACCCAACCCACCCUAAUUAUCUGUUCUCUCCUGAUUGUGAAGUCUAUGAAAAGAAACACACAGGUCAUUUUCAGAAAAUGAAGACAUGAUGUUAGUAGCAAAAUCUCACUGUGGUUUGAAGGAGCAUUUAUGAACUGUCAGGAAGGAGCCCUUCAUUGCUCUGUUGUCCAGUCAAGAAUGGGAGACACUAAGAGCUUGGCCAGGGCUUCAACUUAAGCUCCAUGUGAAUAACCUUGGCCUAUGCUCCCUGGACAUGCAGUUUACCAUCUGCAGAGUAUGGCCAGUUUGCCUGAUGGGAGGAAUCACAUGCACUGCGAGCCACCCCUUGCAGCAAGAAGUCCACAAACAGGGCCUUUCCCUGGCAACAGUAAGUGAGGUCAGCUGGGGUCUGGAGCUGCUCAAGACUGGCUGCAUGCUCAAAGGAUGGGAAUUGUAGUGCCCUAGAGGGAGCUUCUACCUGUGACUGCUUUAGGUCUGCCAUGAGAACCAUGGUCCACAUGGCACCUGUGAGCAGAGAUGGGGGAAAGAGGAGACACAGAGGUCAACAGGGAUAUGGAAGUGUCUUUUAUUGCAAUUGAGUUUUCUAGUCAUCAAACCUCUUCGAGGUAUAGAAUCAGCUCUGAAAUUGUCAAAGUGUUUUGAUCAUAGUAUUCAGAGAUUUAUUUUUUAACUGAGAUAUACAUUACUAUGUAUUUGCAGUAAUGUUUUUGUUAAAAGUUGUAUCGUAAUGUAUUUAGCCAGAACUCAGUGUCUGUGAGAAACAAACAAUACUAGAACUUCUUACUACCUUCUGUGACAUAAAGUUUAAAAUUAUAUAAUGUAACCAGUGACUU
rnacentral:lncRNA from 1 species